rnacentral:rRNA from 1 species
UGAUCCUGGCUCAGGAUGAACGCUAGCGGCAGGCUUAACACAUGCAAGUCGAGGGGUAACAGGGAGUGCUUGCACUCUGCUGACGACCGGCGCACGGGUGCGUAACGCGUAUGCAACCUACCUUCUACAGGGGGAUAGUCCAGAGAAAUUUGGCAUAAUACCCCAUACGAUCAUUUAUUGGCAUCGAUAGAUGAGGAAAACUCCGGUGGUAGAAGAUGGGCAUGCGUCCUAUUAGUUAGUUGGUAAGGUAACGGCUUACCAAGACAUCGAUAGGUAGGGGUCCUGAGAGGGAGAUCCCCCACACUGGUACUGAGACACGGACCAGACUCCUACGGGAGGCAGCAGUGAGGAAUAUUGGACAAUGGAGGCAACUCUGAUCCAGCCAUGCCGCGUGCAGGAAGACGGCCCUACGGGUUGUAAACUGCUUUUAUACAGGAAGAAACGCCGCUACGUGUAGCGGUUUGACGGUACUGUACGAAUAAGGAUCGGCUAACUCCGUGCCAGCAGCCGCGGUAAUACGGAGGAUCCAAGCGUUAUCCGGAAUCAUUGGGUUUAAAGGGUCCGUAGGCGGUUUUUUAAGUCAGAGGUGAAAUCCUGCAGCUCAACUGUAGCAUUGCCUUUGAUACUGAAAGACUUGAGUUAUUGUGAAGUAGUUAGAAUGUGUAGUGUAGCGGUGAAAUGCAUAGAUAUUACACAGAAUACCGAUUGCGAAGGCAGAUUACUAACAAUAUACUGACGCUGAGGGACGAAAGCGUGGGUAGCGAACAGGAUUAGAUACCCUGGUAGU